rnacentral:rRNA from 1 species
UGGGGAAUUUUGGACAAUGGGCGAAAGCCUGAUCCAGCAAUGCCGCGUGUGUGAAGAAGGCCUUCGGGUUGUAAAGCACUUUUGUCCGGAAAGAAAUGGCUCUGGUUAAUACCUGGGGUCGAUGACGGUACCGGAAGAAUAAGGACCGGCUAACUACGUGCCAGCAGCCGCGGUAAUACGUAGGUCCCGAGCGUUGUCCGGAUUUAUUGGGCGUAAAGCGAGCGCAGGCGGUUAGAUAAGUCUGAAGUUAAAGGCAGUGGCUCAACCAUUGUAGGCUUUGGAAACUGUUUAACUUGAGUGCAGAAGGGGAGAGUGGAAUUCCAUGUGUAGCGGUGAAAUGCGUAGAUAUAUGGAGGAACACCGGUGGCGAAAGCGGCUCUCUGGUCUGUAACUGACGCUGAGGCUCGAAAGCGUGGGGAGCGAACAGG